AAAGCAAUUUAUUCGCGUAUGGCAACAUGUGCCGUUUCAAUUAAAAGAAAAUUUUAUUUGACAUUUGUUUGAUUCAGGAUGGAGCCCGGCUAGUAAGCAAAUGGUGGCGGACAUUUUUUUUUGUGUAACAAAUAUUCUGUUGCAAAAAGUACGGUUUUGUAAGAACGUCUUUUACGCAAUAUUUAACGCAUUGGAAAUAAUGCACGAAAAUCAUUAAUUUCAUGUGUCCAAAAAGUUUAUAUUAAGCGUGAUCAAUUCUUAAUAGGAAAGCGUUUUAAAAAGGUGAUAUAAGUGAGCAUAAAAGAUUCCCUACCUAAAUUGUGUGCACAUCUACACGUACAAUGGAAAUUGCGCAAAAUGUACUUCUAUAUGGAACGAAAAAUGAAGCCUGGCGACAAGCGCUUUUUUUUUUUAGAAGUAACUGUAAAAUAUCAUUUGUGGUCGAUAAAGAAGUGCUAGCGGCGUCCCGUGUUCAUUUAAUUAAAAUAAAAUAUUACAAUCGGAGUUUAAAUGUUGUAUAAUAUAUAUCAUGUGCGGUGAUAAAAUUUUUUCAUAGCGUUUGAGUAAAAUAUGGCCGCCGGAGAGUUAUGUGAAAAGAAAAUAUUUGGAUUCGUACGUGGAUGUCUUCAGAUGUGUGAAGUAUCACCCUGCAAUUCAAUGGAAUUGCACAACAAAUGAAGCCCGGCAAUAUGAAUAGCGUCUCAAUUGCAUUUAAGACGCAAUUGCAGAAAUUGCAAAAAACUAAAAUGCAGAGUGAAUAUUGCUGAUAGUGAUACACUUCUGUGGAGGGCUUCAUUUAGAUAAUGUAAAUCUUUUACCACAGGACAUGUCUUUGAAAAGAACACUACAUAUAAAUGUUUACAACGGCGUUGUUUUAAAAAAUUAAUCAUUUAUGCAGCAUAAACACAAAAAAAAAAAAUAGAAAUAAACCUAUUAUGAAUACAUAAUAUCAAAAACUAAGUAGCUGAUCAGUACAACAAUUAUCAUCAAACAGUACCAAUAUUUAAUUUAAAACAACUUAACAAUUACUUGCAAAAUUCUACUAUUGAAUUAUAUUCAAUAAAUUUGAUAAUAAAUUAUUAUUGUCUAGUAUUGCGCAGAAAUUGUUAUCUCUACCGCAAGGAAGUCAAUUAAUUCCAAUUCAGCAACAAAGAUAAACUAGAUAGAAGCUAGUUUUAU